AUUCCAGACUGAAUCUUUCUGUACAACCAAGGGUUGAGUCAUCAAGGAUCCAGCUUAUUAUUGGCAAAUUGGACCGUACAAAAAGCGCACAAGUGGGAGAGAAAGGAGGGGACGGCAUCAGAAAGGACCUAGAGCUUGGACUCUUUCAAGGAUCACCCAAAGCACAACCAUGCU